UAAAAAAAUGGGCGAACUUACUGAAAGAUAAGGGCGCAAAGCUAAAGGGCCUAAAGUGCAAGCGCAUGACGCCAUAUAGGAUUGCGUA
rnacentral:ncRNA from 1 species